rnacentral:rRNA from 1 species
GACGAACGCUGGCGGCGUGCUUAACACAUGCAAGUCGAACGGUAAGGCUCCAGCUUGCUGGGGUACACGAGUGGCGAACGGGUGAGUAACGCGUGGGUGACCUGCCCUGCACUUCGGGAUAAGCCUGGGAAACUGGGUCUAAUACCGGAUAGGACCGCACCGUGAGGGUGUGGUGGAAAGUUUUUUCGGUGUGGGAUGGGCCCGCGGCCUAUCAGCUUGUUGGUGGGGUAAUGGCCUACCAAGGCGGCGACGGGUAGCCGGCCUGAGAGGGUGGACGGCCACAUUGGGACUGAGACACGGCCCAGACUCCUACGGGAGGCAGCAGUGGGGAAUAUUGCACAAUGGGCGGAAGCCUGAUGCAGCGACGCCGCGUGGGGGAUGACGGCCUUCGGGUUGUAAACUCCUUUCACCAUCGACGAAGGGUUUCUGACGGUAGAUGGAGAAGAAGCACCGGCUAACUACGUG